rnacentral:SRP_RNA from 1 species
GACUCGGGCCAUGCGGCUCGGACGCCCAAAUCUGGUCAGGACCGGAAGGGAGCAGCCACACGGGAUGCUCAGAGCAGGCGUGGACUCCGGGUCACCCAACU